rnacentral:rRNA from 1 species
AUUCCAGACUCCUACGGGAGGCAGCAGUGGGGAAUAUUGCACAAUGGGGGAAACCCUGAUGCAGCGACGCCGCGUGAAGGAUGAAGUAUUUCGGUAUGUAAACUUCUAUCAGCAGGGAAGAAAAUGACGGUACCUGACUAAGAAGCCCCGGCUAACUACGUGCCAGCAGCCGCGGUAAUACGUAGGGGGCAAGCGUUAUCCGGAUUUACUGGGUGUAAAGGGAGCGUAGACGGCAUGGCAAGUCUGAUGUGAAAGCCCGGGGCUCAACCCCGGGACUGCAUUGGAAACUGUCAGGCUAGAGUGUCGGAGAGGCAAGUGGAAUUCCUAGUGUAGCGGUGAAAUGCGUAGAUAUUAGGAGGAACACCAGUGGCGAAGGCGGCUUGCUGGACGAUGACUGACGUUGAGGCUCGAAAGCGUGGGGAGCAAACAGGAUUAGAUACCCCAGUA